rnacentral:rRNA from 1 species
CCAGGCGUCGAGCGGCGGACGGGUGAGUAACGCGUAGGAAUCUACCCAGUAGCGGGGGAUAGCCCGGAGAAAUCCGGAUUAAUACCGCAUACGCCCUAAGGGGGAAAGGUCGGGAUCUAUUUAUAGACCGAUCACUAUUGGAUGAGCCUGCGUAAGAUUAGCUAGUUGGUAGGGUAAAGGCCUACCAAGGCGACGAUCUUUAGCUGGUCUGAGAGGAUGAUCAGCCACACUGGAACUGAGACACGGUCCAGACUCC